GGCCUUAUCAUGCAAGUCGAACGGUAACAUUGGUGCUUGCACCAGAUGACGAGUGGCGCACGGGUGCGUAACGCGUAUGCAACCUACCUUUUACUAGAGUAUAGCCCAGAGAAAUUUGGAUUAAUCCUCUAUAACAUCUUUUAAUUUCAUGAUUAUUAGAUUAAAGUUUUAACGGUAAAAGAUGGGCAUGCGUCCUAUUAGUUUGUAGGUGAGGUAACGGCUCACCUAGACUACGAUAGGUAGGGGCCCUUAGAGGGGGAUCCCCCACACUGGUACUGAGACACGGACCAGACUCCUACGGGAGGCAGCAGUAAGGAAUAUUGGACAAUGGACGAAAGUCUGAUCCAGCCAUGCCGCGUGCAGGAUGAAAGCCCUAUGGGUUGUAAACUGCUUUUAUACAGGAAGAAAAACUCCGACGUGUCGGAGCUUGACGGUACUGUAAGAAUAAGGAUCGG
rnacentral:rRNA from 1 species